UUGGUCGACAUACCACGUUGGCUGUCAGAAAUGCACACUGCAGUAAGGCGGUAUUUGAGUUAUAUUUUAGAAGUGCCUAGACAAAAUGUGCUCCUUGUCGUGUGCAGUAACCAUCGCAAACCCUCCGGACUUGUGUAACGCCGUUAGUUCGCCGUGUGUUUCGUGCGAUCUACCAGUGUCGACAGUGAGUGUCUUACUACAGCGCUCGUCCGAGCUGCCUUUGUUCUGCCCACGCUCCCGUGAAAAGUCUGGUACUGGAGCUUCGAAUCGUAGUGUAUGGAAGGCUGUUGAAGGUUGUGCUUUUGUGGAGCUGGAGUUCAUCGGAAGUUCUACAGUGCUUGCGCCAGAAAGACGUCGGUGCCUCGGUACCUUUGAGACGAAGGAGCGUUGGCCAAGUCUUUUUGAAAGGCUAUGCGGAUUCUGGAGGCAUCCCUACAUCGAGCAGGAACCUGCUGCACUGCUGGAAGCUGGAUAGCACGACAAUAAAGCACGUGAUCUGUGUGCUUUCUCAAAGGUAGACAUCGGCGACGGUGUAUAUGGUGAAAAGGGCCUGCUGAAGAGGCUGCGCCUGGAUGCUAACAACUCGGGCUUUCAGUUUGCGGGGGGCCUCCUUAAGGCUCCUUUUACAAAAGAAGAGGUUGAAGGGAGGCGCUACACAUGGAUGCGCAGCGAUUGUUUGUGACAGCGUCACUGGCCUGCCUUUUCGCUUUGUUCUGGGUUUUCCACGUUAUCUACUCGAAAAAGGCCCACAGGAUUUUGACAUUUAUUGAGCACUGCUUUCUGGAUUUUUGCUACACAAAGCCGCAGGUGAAAGCAUUGGAUUUAGUCAAUUUUUACAAGAACUAUUGCUAGGCAAAAAAAUUUUCAGAUGCAUAUCAUCAAGAAAGUUUCUGUCAAAAUUAUUUUGCCUAACAAAAGCACUCGUGGGUUCUGUGGCUGACAGGUUGCCCAAGCCAUGUAGCACAGUGCUUGCUUUAAAGGGACACGAAAAAGAAAAUUUAUUUGAGCUUUAUUAAAUCAUUCUUCUACAACACCGAAAAAACAACUCCCACCAUGAGAAUUGGCUUGAUAAGCCAGAUAACUUGCAAAAACGAAAACUGGUGUCGCCACCACCACCUUAUAGUUCCUGCACCAGCUCGCUGUGAUAUGGAAUUUGACGGUGUCUGUUCGGGUCUAGCUAAUGUUCUACUGGCCAAUAUUGAUGAAUUCUGUUGUAAAGGUGUCAAAGAAUAUACUUAGUUGAAGUAUGACUCCACACUGAUGUGCGGGCACUGCAUAAAACUUGAAAAAUGAAAGUUAAAUCUUCAUUUUCUCUUCUAAUAAUCCUCUUAUUGCCACAAUGUUCAUGAAUACAGUUCUGAAAGAUUGUUUUAUCAGUAUAAAAUGAUUUACUGUUUCGCUUUAGUAUUUCUGUAAUGGACCUUCAGCAACAAAAUGUGUGUUAGUAUUCCACAGGUAUUCACAGCGGGGGCAAAAGCACCAGCAGCAUGCUCAAUGAUUCUGUACCAACUGAUAACUUGAAGGAUGUCCUGUGCCACUAGGGUUAGGCCAAUGUGGCUCUGUGUUAAUCACAAGUGUAUUAUGCAAAACUUAAUGGCCCAGAAAUUGGUAAUUCAGGAGGGAGUUGAAUUAGCAAUUUUUUUUUCUUUAUCAUGGACUUCUCACAUUACACUUUGUCACAACGCAUUCACUUUAAAGUAACUGGAGAAUAAGGUGGUUUGGUAUUCAGACAUGCCUUCUGUGUGUAAACAGUAUUAGAUGAGCAAUACAAAGAUACACCAUAGAUGCUGACUGGCAACAUGAAGGGGUUUGAGGGCAGCUACAAAUAUACAUCCUUGUAGUCGUACCUAUAGCACCAUGUUCAAUUUGUCACACAAGCAUAUGGCAUCCAUCACAACUGCAUGCCUAGAAACGGACAAGGGCAACACGCUCAAUUCCCUUUUAGUCUAUCUAAGAAGCACUACAAUUUUUAGGCAACGAAAUUGAAAUCUGGCUUGUACCCAUAAGUACUGCAAUACAGUUGUGCAACGUGUUCCUCUUGUGUGGAAAACGGGCUGCAUAUGUUUUCUUUGAGCACAAGGGGGAGUGGUAUCAGUUAGAGCCCCUCCAUCCACGUGCCACUGCCGCUUUCUUAAGUAGCGACAACCUUUGUUGUGCGCCGCCUUUUCCCCUCACACCAAAUCCGGUUCCAGCAUUUCCAGUUUAAAAGUUUCCGGUUCCGGCGUUACCGCUUCCUGAAGUUGUGCUGCGGGAAUUUCCGCUUUGACUGCCGAUGGUGAGACGCCCACGCGUGCUUAGCAGAGCUGUGGGAGUCACCAUGAGAAGAAUGCAAAGGCGACAAGCUGUUGUAUUCCGCUGAAGUAGUAAUUCGUGGUCGCUGUUUUCUAAAUGCACGAAAAACGGCAGUGGUCUCCAAGCGCCCAGGCACUACAUUCCACUGUUCGUUGUCUCUCGUGGCACAACCCGUCGCAGGUUGACGCGAAACAGCGAACACGAUCAGAUCGCUGAUUGCAAUAGGCGGUGGUACUUGGAUGGAAUCGCAUUCACAGUUUAAACCGCAGCUGGUGCAAUUAAAGCCUCUCCAUCGACGCGAAAGUAAACAACGUUAAGAAAAACAUAGCGUUACUUCCACUCGGAACAGGAAGCUGCAGCUACGGAAAUUCCGCUUGACACCGGAAGCUAAGGGGGUGAGUGGCAGAGGAGCGUGGAGGAAGAGGGUAGGUUGGCGGUACUUAACCUGGUCAGCGGAAACGUGUAUGGAGAGGCUUUAGUAUCAGUUAAUGGCUGUUUUCACAUAUAUGUUUUGUCGUGUGUAUUAGCAAUCACCAUUUUCCUUAUCUGAGUGAGGUCAUUUUUUAGAAAGUUUGAAAGUUUAUAGAACAUGUUGCUCAUGGUUGUUGCAGUUUUCUUCCUAACUAUCCAUUCAUUGCACUGUGCACCCAUGUCUUGGGCAACUAGCUGUUUGAAGGUCAGUAUGCUAUCGAUGGGUCUAAUGGUAAUCUCUAGUGCCCUCUCAUUUGCUUGUUGCAAUACUGAAGAGUUUUGUAUAUUGUGUCACUUGUUUAUUUUCACUGUACUUUAGUUUCACUACAUCUUGAAUGUGUUGUGAUAGUUUUUCUUUUGCAAUGAAAGAUAUGGUGGACAGUUGCCAACACUAA